rnacentral:lncRNA from 1 species
UUAGGGAAGAAAUUGUCGGUGUUUUAUACCCGGCAACCUGCCGAGGGGUAUCCCGAGACAGUAGAUUGGUUGGUGGGGAAUCGUCGGACUUAUAACUUGAAGGUAAAAGUGAGAACAUAAGACACAGAUUUAUACAGAUUCGGAUCGCUAGAGUAGCGUAAUACCCUACGUUCUGUUUGGGGUGUUGUAUAUUACGCUCUACGCUCGGGUGUUAUUUGGUGUUGAGGAUUUUAUCCUUUGUUGUGGUUCAGGUUGAUCAUGAGAUAGUUCUCUAUCUGCCGAUCUAGAUACCCUGCCCUCCUUUAUAUACUCUAGGGGGCAGGAUUACUAGUCGGUUAAAAGGUAGGAGUCCUAGUAGAAUUACAAGAUAUGAGUCCUA